ACAAUGAUGAUGUCACUGAUUCUACUGCUGGCCACCCUGGGGCUCCUUGUUCAGGGUUCAUCAGGACAAAUCAUCCUGACUCAGUCUCCUGGAUCUCAGUCUGUUGUUCCAGGACAGGCUGUGUCUCUCAAAUGUAAAGCCAGUACAAGUGUUUAUAACAACCUCCAGUGGUACCUUCAGAAACCUGGAGAAGCUCCUAAACUCCUGAUUUAUGCAGCUACAACUCGUCAGUCUGGAGUUCCAGAUCGUUUUAGUGGAAGUGGAUCUGGGACUGACUACACUCUGACCAUCAGUGGAGUUCAGGCUGAAGAUUCAGGAGUUUACUACUGUCAGCAGAGUCACAGCUUCCCGUUCACACAGUGAUACGUCGUACAAAAACCUCCCUCAGCUGGAGAGGAACUGAUCUGACUCAACAGCUGCACUGAAACUAAAACAGAGGUUUAUAAAAAAACAUUUAGACAAUAAUAACAACACUUUAAACAUUUCAACACUAAAUAUUCUGUAUUUAAGCCAAACAUUUAUAAUCUAAUUGAACUAUUCUUCUGAAAUUCACAGAGUAUCAUAACACUAAAAUUGUAAAUUUCAUAGGAACUUCAACAUACUUAACGAAAUAUCAUCUCAAUAAACUCUAAUUUCAUUCAUCUAGUCAAAAUGACCAAUCAUGUCUAUAACAACAUGUAUAAAUAACUUAAUUUGUGUUUUUUAUUCCAGCAAACACAUUUAUUUCAUAAUGGAACCAAAAGGUUCAUGGAGUAAAUAAAUCAGCAACAUUUGAAUUAUUUCCUUUUAUCAUCUUUAGUUUUAUUCAAGUGAAAAGGUUCUUUGGAUACACAAACAAUUACAAGAUUAAAAUUAUUACCAUUAAGACAGUUUUACCAGGGAUUUUGUUCCAAAAAGGUUUAUUAUUACAGAAAAAUCUGUAACGACAGCAGGAAAGGUUUUACAGUCAUGAAUGAAUUCAAAUUGAUUGUGAAAAAAUAUGGAAUUCUACGACCAUCACUGGUUUGUACUAAUCAAAAUAUAAUGAGGAGUUAUGUCUGACUUUAAAAUCUCUCUCAAUAUUCUGUAACUUUAGAAAUAUAUUGAUGUUAAACUGUUGUUCUCUGGAUGUAAAACAGUCACUGACACCAUCAAGAGAACAUUUAUUAAGACACUUUGAUGAUAAUAAACAUGAAAACAGCUGAUUGGAUGAAAAGGUCUUUAUUAUCUGGAAACACUGAAAUAAUAUUGAAACAGUGCAACAAGCUAGUAAAUCUUGCUGUUGAAAGAU